ACGAUGAAGAGUUUGAUCCUGGCUCAGGAUGAACGCUAGCGACAGGCUUAACACAUGCAAGUCGAGGGGCAUCACGGGUAGCAAUACCUGGUGGCGACCGGCGCACGGGUGCGUAACGCGUAUGCAACCUGCCUGCCAGAGGGGGAUAGCCCGUCGAAAGACGGAUUAAUACCGCAUGAAACAGGGGCUCCGCAUGGAGAUAUUUGUUAAAGAUUUAUUACUGGCAGAUGGGCAUGCGUUCCAUUAGGCAGUUGGCGGGGUAACGGCCCACCAAACCGACGAUGGAUAGGGGAACUGAGAGGUUGGUCCCCCACACUGGUACUGAGACACGGACCAGACUCCUA
rnacentral:rRNA from 1 species